AUUGAACGCUGGCGGCAUGCCUUACACAUGCAAGUCGAACGGCAGCACGGGUGCUUGCACCUGGUGGCGAGUGGCGAACGGGUGAGUAAUACAUCGGAACAUGUCCUGUAGUGGGGGAUAGCCCGGCGAAAGCCGGAUUAAUACCGCAUACGAUCUACGGAUGAAAGCGGGGGACCUUCGGGCCUCGCGCUAUAGGGUUGGCCGAUGGCUGAUUAGCUAGUUGGUGGGGUAAAGGCCUACCAAGGCGACGAUCAGUAGCUGGUCUGAGAGGACGACCAGCCCCCCUGGGACUGGGACCCGGCCCAGACUCCUACGGGGGGCAGCAGUGGGGAAUUUUGGGCAAUGGGCGAAAGCCUGAUCCAGCAAUGCCGCGUGUGUGGAGAAGGCCUUCGGGUUGUAAAGCACUUUUGUCCGGAAAGAAAUCCUUGGCCCUAAUACGGUCGGGGGGAUGACGGUACCGGAAGAAUAAGCACCGGCUAACUACGUG
rnacentral:rRNA from 1 species